UAACAAUUGGAGGGCAAGUCUGGUGCCAGCAGCCGCGGUAAUUCCAGCUCCAAUAGUGUAUAUUAGAGUUGUUGCAGUUAAAAAGCUCGUAGUUGGAUUUCUGUCGUGGUCAUCCGGCUCCGCCCGUAUGGGUGUGCGCCUGGUUUGCCCUCGGCUUUCUUCCGGUAGCCUUCCGCGCUUCACUGCGUGUGUUGGUGUUCCGGAACUUUUACUUUGAGAAAAAUAGAGUGUUUCAAGCAGGCUUGUCGCCCUGAAUACUUCAGCAUGGAAUAAUAAGAUAGGACCUUGGUUCUAUUUUGUUGGUUUCUAGGACCAAGGUAAUGGUUAAUAGGGACAGUUGGGGGCAUUCGUAUUUAACUGUCAGAGGUGAAAUUCUUAGAUUUGUUAAAGACGAACUACUGCGAAAGCAUUUGCCAAGGAUGUUUUCAUUAAUCAAGAACGACAGUAGGGGGUUUGAAGACGAUUAGAUACCGUCGUAAUCUCUACCAUAAACUAUGCCGACUAGAGA
rnacentral:rRNA from 1 species